rnacentral:rRNA from 1 species
CUCGUAGGUGGCCAACUAAGUCAGACGUGAAAUCCCUCAGCUUAACUGGGGAACUGCGUCUGAUACUGGAUGGCUUGAGAUUGGGAGAGGGAUGCGGAAUUCCAGGUGUAGCGGUGAAAUGCGUAGAUAUCUGGAGGAACACCGGUGGCGAAGGCGGCAUCCUGGACCAACACUGACACUGAGGAGCGAAAGCCAGGGGAGCAAACG